AUGGGUCCUUGCAUUGCCUCUGACCAUGUCCCCAUCAACAUCAAAAUUGGCUCAUCUAUACCCAGAUCUAAUAUUUUCAGAUUUGAAAACUACUGGCUACAACAUUCUCAGUUUAAAGAUGUAGUCAAAUCUAUCUGGUCACAAGAAGUGAAUGAAAUUGAUAGUGCAAAAGUUAUUGCAGCCAAAUUUAAAAGACUGAGAAAAGGGCUUAAAAUAUGGGCAAGGAAAAUAUCACACUUGAGGAACACAAUUGUAGGUACAAACUUCCUUAUCCUGUGCUAUGACUAUUUUGAAGAAUUCAGGCCACUCUCCAUAGAGGAAUCAACUGGGAGGAGGAUACUAAAAGAUCAUCUUGCACAGUUACUUGAGCAUCAGAGGAUUUAUUGGAAACAGAGAGCUACCAUAAGACAAAUCAAGAUGGUAGAGGCCAACACCAAAUACUUCCAAGCAAAAGCCACAAUCAAAUACAGAAAUAAUUGUAUUGCUAUGCUCAGGGAUGAAACAGGAAUAGAGCACCAUGAUCACCAGGCCCAAGUUGCUAUUCUUUUCAGAGCCUUCAAAGACAGAUUGGGUACUUGCAUCCCUUAUGAUAACCCACUCAAUCUACAUGAUCUUAUACUCUCUUCAGUUGAUCUAUCUGAAUUGGAAGUCCCAUUCACCAAUAAGGAGAUUGACAAUGUGAUCAUGCAUAUGCCAUCAGAUAAAUCACCUGGGCCAGAUGGUUUUAAUGCAGCUUUCCUCAAAGCUUGUUGGGAUAUUAUUGCCAAUGACUUUUAUAGACUCAUUCAUGAUUUUUACUCUGGCAAUGUCAAUAUUCAAAGCAUCGACUACUCCUUCAUUACUCUAAUCCCCAAAGUUGAUGCUGCAACUAGCCCAGCAGAGUUCAGACCUAUGUCUCUAGUCAAUUACACACUCAAGAUAUCACUAAGCUUCUGGCCAAUAGAUUACAGAAAGUUAUCCUGA
rnacentral:rRNA from 1 species